GCCUCCUUGAGCUGUGGUGGGCUCCACCCAGUUCGAGCUUCCUGGCUGCUUUGUUUACCUAAUCAAGCCUGGGCAAUGGCGGGCGCCCCUCCCCCAGCCUCGCUGCCGCCUUGCACUUUGAUCUCAGACUGCUGUGCUAGCAAUCAGCGAGACUCCGUGGGUGUAGGACCCUCCGAGCCAGGUGCGGGAUAUAAUCUUGUGGUGUGCCAUUUUUUAAGCCCAUCGGAAAAGCGCCGUAUUCGGGUGGGAGUGACCCGAUUUUCCAGGUGCCAUCUGUCACCCUUUUCUUUGACUCAGAAAGGGAACUUGCUGACCCCUUGCGCUUCCCAAGUGAGGCAAUGCCUCGCCCUGCUUCGGCUCACGCACAGUGCGCCCACCCACUGACCUGCGCCCACUGUCUGGCACUCGCUAGUGAGAUGAACCCGGUACCUCAGAUGGAAAUGCAGAAAUCACCCGUCUUCUGCGUCGCUCAGGCUGGGAGCUGUAGACCAGAGCUGUUCCUAUUCGGCCAUCUUCUGGUGCUACAUUUUAAAAGAGAAAGAAAAACUACAUAUACAGUAAGACAUUCUGUGCUGGGAGGAGAGCAGAGGAUCCAGGGAGCAGAUUGCAGGGAGCUUCACUGAAGCAAGAUGACCGUGAUGCUGGAGAAGAGCCCUUGAGAUGGAACAGGGGAAUCCUGGAGGCUACUUCUUGAAGAUGAGGUUAUCACAAGAUGCAGAAGGAGGCUGAAUUCCUGAAUCACUGCUCGAAGGAGAGCUGUCUGUCCUGGAAAAUGAUGAGAUGAACCCGGUACCUACGAUGGAAGUGCAGAAGUCACCCGUCUUCUGCGUCGCUCACGCUGGGAGCUGUAGACCAGAGCUGUUCCUAUUCGGCCAUCUUCAAAACCUCAGGUACUGAGGAGUCCUUGUGGAAUUCCCCUUUGGAGUUGAGAGUUUCACAAGUUGUACAAUCACAAGGAGGGCACCUGUCUCUUUCUUCGUUUGGGCAUAUUCAACCAACACCUUCUGUCUUCAGCUUGAUGAGUAAGGAAGGACUGAAAGAAAUUCUAUGGCAGUACUGGCUGUGCCUGAGAAACCUCCUGCCACUCAAGCCCAGCAAGGUCAGCCAACAAUGGAAGAGCUGGCACAGAAACAGGUGAGGCCUGUGUCUAGAAGGGAGUUAAGUCAUCAGUGAAGAGAUUAUGACAAAAAGAAAAGAGGCCACUGUGUGAAAUUGAUGGAAUUCAUGGACACCGGCACUCCCACAUUGAGCAGGACACUGGAUGAGAUAGCACUGCCCUCUUUUCUGAGUCCUGACAAGACCUCUCUCUUGCCUCUCCUCCUGUCUGCCAGCCUGUGCUCUGCUGCCCAUUUCCUAGUUCGUGCUCAGUAACUGGUGACUCCUAUAAAGCUCUAAACCUGGGUUGUGCUGAAAGGUAAGCUGUGAACACUGCAGUUCUUCUGGCACAAUCUCACCGUUCCUCGACUCUUUUUCUGGUCCAAGUUCUGUGCUUCUCCACUGUACACUUCAUCUUGCUGUGAUGACCCCAUUCCUAAGUUCUUGGACUGGUCAUUUUCACCUGAUGAUGAGCUCUCUCCACCAAAAUUCAGUCCCCUCCUGUGGUCUCUGACUUAGACUAUCUCCACCCCCAUUUCUCACCCACUGCUUACCACCCUGGUUCUCUGGAUAUUGGACUAUCCUUGGGGCACAAUUCUCUGCCAGGCAAAAAAUAAGAGUUAUAAUAGGUAAUCAAUAUUUGUAUGGAUUAUAUAUUUAAUAAUGACAAAGGAACUUUGGGUGCCUUUCUUGGUGUAUUGCAUGGAAGCCAGUCAUAUUUUCUUAUGUAUUAAUAGACAUCUUAAAAGUUGUUUACAAUCUUUCAAUGGAUUACAAAUCCUACUGUAGGUGCAAACCCAAUAAAUAGAUGUCUGACCUGAACAUGAACAUUUCCAGGGUCAGGAAAAGAUGCAAAGGAGGACCCAUUUUUUUUUUAAAUUAAGCACCUCACACUGCACUAGGUAUAUGCUUAGGCUGUGUUAUCUCUGGCUGUCUUAG
rnacentral:lncRNA from 10 species